GUGACCUCAAAUCAGGUAGGACUACCCGCUGAACUUAAGCAUAUCAAUAAGCGGAGGAAAAGAAACUAACAAGGAUUCCCCUAGUAACUGCGAGUGAAGCGGGAAAAGCUCAAAUUUAAAAUCUGGCGGUCUUUGGCUGUCCGAGUUGUAAUCUAGAGAAGUGUUAUCCGCGCUGGACCGUGUACAAGUCUCCUGGAAUGGAGCAUCAUAGAGGGUGAGAAUCCCGUCUUUGACAUGGACUACCAGGGCUUUGUGAUGCGCUCUCAAAGAGUCGAGUUGUUUGGGAAUGCAGCUCAAAAUGGGUGGUAAAUUCCAUCUAAAGCUAAAUAUUGGCGAGAGACCGAUAGCGAACAAGUACCGUGAGGGAAAGAUGAAAAGAACUUUGGAAAGAGAGUUAAACAGUACGUGAAAUUGCUGAAAGGGAAACGCUUGAAGUCAGUCGCGUCGUCCAGGGAUCAACCUUGCUUUUGCUUGGUGCACUUUCUGGUUCGAUGGGUCAGCAUCAAUUUUGACUGUUGGAAAAAGGUUGAGGGAAUGUGGCAUCUUUGGAUGUGUUUAUAGCCCUUGGUCACAUACAAUGGUUGGGAUUGAGGAACUCA
rnacentral:rRNA from 1 species